rnacentral:rRNA from 1 species
UAAUACGUAGGUGGCGAGCGUUGUCCGGAAUUACUGGGCGUAAAGGGUGCGUAGGCGGUUAUAAAAGUCAGAUGUGAAAUUCCGGGGCUCAACUUCGGAAUUGCAUUUGAAACUUUAUGGCUAGAGUGCAGGAGAGGGAAGCGGAAUUCCUAGUGUAGCGGUGAAAUGCGUAGAUAUUAGGAAGAACACCAGUGGCGAAGGCGGCUUUCUGGACUGUAACUGACGCUGAGGCACGAGAGCGUGGGGAGCAAACAGGAUUAGAUACCCUGGUAGUCCACGCUGUAAACGAUGAGUGCUAGGUGUAGGAGGUAUCGACACCUUCUGUGCCGCAGUAAACGCAAUAAGCACUCCGCCUGGGGAGUACGGUCGCAAGACUAAAACUCAAAGGAAUUGACGGGGGCCCGCACAAGCAGCGGAGCAUGUGGUUUAAUUCGAAGCAACGCGAAGAACCUUACCAGGGCUUGACAUCUCCUGAAUACCCUAGAGAUAGGGGAAGCCCCUCGGGGCAGGAAGACAGGUGGUGCAUGGUUGUCGUCAGCUCGUGUCGUGAGAUGUUGGGUUAAGUCCCGCAACGAGCGCAACCCUUGUCAUUAGUUGCUAACAUUAAGGUGAGCACUCUAAUGAGACUGCCGGGGACAACUCGGAGGAAGGUGGGGAUGACGUCAAAUCAUCGUGCCCCUUAUGUUCUGGGCUACACACGUGCUACAAUGGCUAGAACAAAGAGAAGCGAAACAGUGAUGUGGAGCAAAUCUUAAAAACUAGUCCCAGUUCGGAUUGAUGGCUGCAACCCGCCAUCAUGAAGCCGGAGUUGCUAGUAAUCGCGAAUCAGCAUGUCGCGGUGAAUACGUUCCCGGGCCUUGUACACACCGCCCGUCACACCAUGAGAGUCUGCAACACCCGAAGCCUGUGAGGUAACUAGAGAUAGGGCCAGCAGUCGAAGGUGGGGCCGAUGAUUGGGGUG